GCCUGGGUGGCUCAGCCGGUUGAGCGUCCGACUUCGACUCAGUUGACGAUCUUGCGGUUUGCAGGUUCGAGCCCUGCAUCGGGCU
rnacentral:tRNA from 1 species